CCGCAUUUGUUGCUCCUGUAUGAGGAAUUCAUAUAUCAAUCCAGUCAAGUGUUAUACAUGCGGAGAAACAAUUCAGCCUUUCAUAAAUGCCAACUGGGGAGCCAUACUGGUUGCUGGGUAUGAUGAAAACUUCGGAAAUGUUUUCCAAAAAGACAUCAAUCAAUUUAAGGAAGUGAUAACAUCGAAAGUACUGCCAGCAAUGUGUAUCAAUCCACAAAAUGUCAUAACUCUGGCUGAAGACAUGAAGGGCAUUAAAGCUGAUGAAAAACUUGAUCAGGCAUUUGAUAUUCUUUCCG